rnacentral:lncRNA from 1 species
GGAAAACACUCAUAUGAGCAUGACAGGAGGUCGAGGAACUCCAGGGUAUGCAGCACCGGAACUUUGGAUGCCAUAUCCAAUAACCCACAAGUGUGAUGUUUAUAGCUUUGGGAUUCUGUUAUUUGAGAUCAUAGGCCGGCGGAGGAACCUUAACGUCCAACUUCCGGACAGCCAGGAGUGGUUCCCGAGAUGGGUGUGGAAGAACAUUGAGAGCAAUGGUGAUAUUGGAGAGUUAAUGGAAGCCUGCGAGAUCGAUGAAGGAAAUAGAGAGACCGUGGAGAGAAUGGUGAAAACGGCUUUAUGGCGUGUUCAGUAUAGAGCUGAACGAAGGCCAUUGAUGAGCAUGGUGGUUAAAAUGUUAGAUGGAGCAGCCGAAAUUCCUCAACCUUCAAAUCCGUUCGGGCAUUUGCUGGAUCACAAUUCCACCAUUGUUGCUGCAGGUAUUUCGAGUUCAACAUGGAAGGACGAUUCAGAGCCUUCUUCUUCGGUGGUAACAGAUCAGUCCAAGUUGGUACAAAUAUGGAGAAUUGUGAGAUUGAAGUGGUUUGCACUUCUACUUAAGGUUUGUUAACCCUGAAUUGGUUUUUUAAUUUAAGCACAAAUAAUUUAAAAUUUAUAACAAUAUUCAAUUUUUUUUCAAAAUUAAAAGAAAUUAUUAAAAAAAAUUAAAAAAGUAUUACGGAGAUUACAUAUAGGUAGAGGUGAUCAUGGGCCGGAUCCAGACAAAAUUUUAGGCCCGUUUUCUAGGCCUGGGCUCAGCUCGACCCGAAAUAUGGGCUUAAAAAUUUAUCCAAGCCCGACCCGAAAGAAAAUUGCUAAGCCCGAGCCCGGCCCGGCCCGACCCAUAUUAAAUAUAUAUUUAAUAUAUAAUUCGGGCCGAGCUGGGCCCGGGCCAAAAAAUUUUUACCUGAGGCCCUACCCGUUUUCUAAACGGGCCCCAUUUUUUUGCCCAAACCCAUAUUUCGGGCCUAUAUUUUUACCCGAACCCUUCUAUUUUUUGGGAGGACCAUCGGGCCAAGCUGAGUAACCCAACCCAUGAUCACCUCUACAUGUAGGCUACCAUGUUUAAAAAUUUAACGUUUUAGUCAAUAUUUUUAUAACCUCCCUAACCUGGUCCAGACGUUAUGGCCGAAUUUUUAAGGUUACAUUGGUCACCGGAAUGACCUAGUAAAAUCGUUCAAUUUCGUAAGUAUUAAUUUGUCAGAUUUAAAAAAAAAAACUUGGGAUAGUUACCAAGAAACGUCCAUUUAAAAAGUGAAGCCUUUAGUUUUUUUUUAUGAAAAAUCAAGCAAUAUCAAGCCAAUUAUUAGGAUUGUUCGACUUUUAACAAAAUUGUACGCAUGCAAAAUCCCAAUUAAAAACAAACUCACGCUACAUGCCACAAUCCAAAAUAAUCAUUACAAUUCCAAAAUCAAUAAUAAAAUUUAGUUUAAAAGUACUUUAUUUAAAAAAAAUUGUUUGAGAUGAGUCUCCUCAAAUAUCGUGUCCGAUCCUAACCUCGAGAAUUAUCUAUAAGGAGUAAAACUAUGAGGGUGAGCUUUAAAUGCUCAAUGUGAGUCUUAAACAGAAUAAACAAUAUAUAUACAUACAAACAAACAAGUUACAAUAAAACAUAUAGCCAACAACAUUUCUGAGAUCAUAGUAGCGCAUGGCAUCAUAAAUAUACAGUAUAUAUAUAUGCAUGGGCAUGCUCAUAAGAAAAUAGUGCACAAUUCCUACCCAUCCAUCCGCUACACACUAUGAGUUCCCCAAAACUCAUCAUCCGAACACCAAAACAAUAAGAGUCAUAGCUCAAUGUGGACAAACCACUAAUAACAAUUUGCAGUUAGAUCGCCAAUAUUUUGUGGAUAAAUUAUCAGUACUCCACGGAACUCCUUCGUCACCUAUCAAUCCCAAUCUCCAUGCAAUGCAACAUGUCAUAUAAAUAGUGUAGCAAAUUAUGCUCAUCAAUAUCAAUUUCAAUAACAAUGACAUGCUUAACAUGCAUUCAAUUUAUCAGUAUUGGUGGCAUAAUUUUCAUGCAUUCAGUAAUUCAAUAUCAAUCGAUAGUAUAUCUUUUCAUCCAAGCAAUAAAUAGUGCACUAGGUAUGCUUAACAUGCAGUCGAUAAAUAGUAACAAUCUGCAUGCUAUAAGUCAAGUAGUAAUAGUACAAAUCAACCAAUUUCAUCAAUCAUACAAUCAACUUAACCUCUAUAGUACUUACACAUUCAGUUAGCAUAAUAUUUGCCACUGAACCGAAGUGUUAUAAGCAUAAUAAUUGCUACCGUAAUAUUUUAUUAAAAGCAUAUUAAAUGUUAUUAUAUUGAUAUGUUUUGAGCAUGUCAUAUUGUAUUGCAUGUCAUAUUGCAUGCUACUAUAUACAAGGGUGUUCUCAACAAUGAAAUCAUGGUAGUUGUCAAGGUUGAUACAAGUCUCAUGGCCCGAAAUUAAGCUCAUGAAUGUGAUGGGCUCAAAUUUUCUCAAGGCUCAAUAACAGCCCAAUAACAAGGUUAAAGGCCAAGUAAAUCCAAGCAAGAUUGAACGAGACCAUCCAAGACUUCGUUACCAAGGCCAUAGGUGUGCACACAACCGAAAAAGAAAAUCAAGAUUCACUUUCUUGUUUUCAAGAAAAUCAAGAAACCAAAUCUUAGUCCAAUUUUGCUAUUUCAGAGAAUUUGAAAAAUCAAGAUUUCAAAUCUUGGAAAUUGUAACACCCCUAACCUGUGUCCGUCGCCGGAUUAGGGUUACAAGACAUUACUGUACAAGACACAGUUCAAUACAGUCAUUUAUCACCUUUCAUGCAUCAAAGAAUAACGAUUCAUUUAUAACAUUAUCAGACUCGAAUAUCCACAAUUCACUUAUACUAAAUUCGAUUACAUGAAUCAUAAAGCUAAUCCAAUUUAGUUGUACUUUACUAAUCAUGUAUCACAAAUAAGCAUACUUCAAAAUUCAACCCAUUCAAUUCGGUUACAAUUUCUAUAUUUUGAAUCAAGCUAACAUACAUCAAAAACUCAAUUGAACAUGUUCCAAAUUAUCAAAUUCGAACUAAAAUUGUAUACAUCAAAGCCAUGUUCACAUACUCACUAAUUAAAUUAUAUUCAAGCAUAUAUCCUUACUUUUCGUAUACAGAAAAUACAUCAGUACAUAAUUUCAUUAGCUAAAUAUCAAAUUUUUUCAUUUCAUUACUUUUGUAUGUGCACAUAAUGAAACCAACCGAAUCAAUAUAUACAACUUAAUGUCCAUUCACAUAUACUACAUUAGCAACAUUACAAUAUAACCAAACAUACUUUUGAUGUCAUUAUAAUAUACUAAUUUUACCCUAAUACAAAAACCAUUUCUAUGUAUAUCUACCGAAUCCAUAUUAACCUAAUUCAUUAAAUAUUACAUAACCAUACAAAUUUCACAUGUUAUACAUAUUAAUCUAUAUUCGAAUUAAACUCGUAAUUAAUUUUCCUACUUUAAAUAAAAUUUGGCAUUGUAGUAUACAUACAUACAUUUCGAUUCAGCUAUUUAUAAAUUAAAUACAUUAAAUUUAGCAUUAAUUAUUCACUUACGAACUUACCUCGAACAAAGACGAACGAUACGGAACGACUACUCAACCACUUUUGAUUUCUCCCAUUUCAAAUCUGAUUUAUUCUUUUCUUGAUCUAAUUCAAUACUAAUUUGGCUUGUUUAUUCACAUAUUCAUUUAAUUUCAUCCAAAAACACAUAAAUGAGCAAAUUGCAUUUUAGCCCCUAACAUUUCACAUUUUCUCAAUUUAGUCCCUAUUUUAAAACAACUCAAAAUAUUCAAAAUUUCAAUAUACCCUAGUUAGGCCAAAUCUACCUUUAGCUUAUACAAGCCCACAUAUUUCAUUUAUUUCACAUUUUAGCCCUUCAAUUUUUCAUUUUCACAAUUUAACACAAAAUACUCAAAUUCAUCAAAAAUCUCAAUACAAAACAUAUUAAUCCAACAUCUAUCCUUCAUAAUUUAUCAAUUAACAUCAUUAAACUCACAAUUUCAUCAAUGGAUUAACUCACAAUCUUCAUCAAAAUCAGAAAUUGAGGCAUGGACUUAAUAAAAUGCUAAACAACAAUCACAAAAACAUAGAAAUUAUUAAAAAUGAAUCAAAACACAUACCUUAAUCACUAAAUAUCAAAGCUGAACCCUAGCUUAGUCUUUUUCUUUUCUUUUCUUUUCUUUUCUUGUUAACAUCGGCCAAAGAUGAACAUAAUGGCCUAUUUUCAUACUUUUAUCUUAUUAUUUCAUUAUUUAAUAAUCAAUUUCCAUUUUUAGCCUUUAUAAUAUCAUUUAAAAUCCACUAACCUUAGGCUUUUAUGCCCAUUCAUAAUUUUAAUGGUAUAAUUUCAACAAAAGGCCCCACAUAAUGAAAGCCAUAGCAAUAUAGUACUUUAACAAUUAGCAAGUCACUUUUGCAUUUUACGCGAUUAAGUCUUUUUCACAAAUUAAGCACACAAACGGAUAAAUUAAAUCACGAAAAAUUUCACACAUGUCAAUUCACAUACUAUAAGCAUGGAAAAUAAUAUUAAAAUAUUUUUCAGACUCAGAUAUGUGGUCCCGAAACCACUGUUCAACUAGGGUCUAAAUCGGGCUGUUACAACUCUCCCCCCUUAGGGAUUUUCAUCCCCAAAAAUCUUACCCGCGAAUAGGUUUGUAUAACGUUCUCUCAUAGCAUCCUCGGGCUCCCACAUAGCUUCUUCAACCCCGUGUCAAUGCCAUAAGGUUUGGAUCCCAUGUAGCAUUUUUUUAGGUCCAAAAAUAGUUUCUUUCCAUCCAAGAAACCCUAAUUCAUUCUCUAUUAGACUCUUUACCAGCUGAUUCAUUUUUCUUUUGUUUUAAUUUCGUUUAAUUCUUCUUUCUGACAACUAAUCAAUUUUCGUUGUUUCUCAUUUCAGUUUACAUUCGUCUAGAGAUCUAGGUUAAAUUUGCAACUUAGACAAGCUACGAUCCUGUUUCGCACGCCUGUCGUAUCAUUCUUUAUCAAAGGUUCUCAAUUAAGCCUCGGAUAAAAGAAUCAAGCAACAAUUCAUGGCGAAAAUGGGCAUAAUCGGUAGAAUUCAUCAUUUUAACCUAGUUUGACUCUAUGGUUUCUGCUUUGACACGAACCUGAUGGCCUUAGUUUACAAAUACCUGCCAAAUGGUUCACUUGAUAGGUUUUUUUUUACCCAAGAAAAGAUAAUAGGAUUCUAGAAACUCCAUGAAAUUGCAAUGGGAACAGCGAAAGGGAUUGCUUACUUACAUGAAAAAUGUCAAGAACGAAUCAUUCACUACGACAUAAAGCCUGGAAACAUUCUCUUAGAUUCAAAAUUCUAUCCGAAAGUUGUUGAUUUUGGUUUGGCCAAGCUCAUCAAUAGGGAAAACACUCAUAUAACCAUGACCAGAGGUUGAGGAACUCCAGGAUAUGCAACACUGGAGCUUUGGAUACCAUAUCCAAUAACCUAUAAGUGUGAUGUUUAUAGCUUUGGGAUGCUAUUAUUUGAGAUAAUCAGCUGGCGGAGGAACUUUAACAUCGAAGUUCCGGAGAGCCAAGAGUGGUGCCCUUGAUGGGUGUGGAUGAACAUUGAGAGCAAUGGCGACAUCGGAGAGUUAACGGAAACCUGCGAGAUCGAUGAGGGAAAUAGAGAGACCAUGGAGAGAAUGGUGAAGACAGCUUUAUGGUGCGUUCAGUAUAGACCUGAACGGUGGCCAUUGAUGAGCAUGGUGGUUAAAAUGUUAGAUGAAGCAGCCGAAACCCCUUAACCUUCAAAUCCAUUUGAUCAUAUGCUGGCUCUGCUAAAUGAUUACGGUUCCAACAUUGUUUCGAGUUCGACAUGGACUUAUUCGGAGUCGACGUCUUCGGCAUUAUUAAAUCAAUCCGAGUUUGUAGUAGAAAGUACAAGUUAUACUAUGAAGAAUUACUAGUUUGAAAUGGCUUGCACUUCUACUUAGGCCUCUUUAGCAUUUUUGUUUGUACAAAUUUAAUGAUUUUAUGCAAACAUAUAUCACUAAAAACUAAAAUUUAUGCAAAUAUGUUAUUCGUUAGGAGACUGAAGCUCCUAAUUAACAAAUGCUCAAUGUCAUUAUCAUAGGCCUGCCAAUGACAUCAAUUUCCCUUUCAUUCCUUCUCUUUUGAAAAGUAAAAAGAAAAAGAAGAAGAUUAUUUCUACUUUAAAAUAAUUUUAUAAUUUUUUUUCAAUUUUUUUAAUGAAUUUCAAUGAUUUAAGAAAAAUUAUGUCCAAAAUGGCUAUCCAAAUUCAAAUUAAUAUAGAUUUUUAUUUGUUCAGUUCAUUCUAAACCUAAAUUUUUUAAAUAAUUUUUAUUUCCAUUUUUUACAAUGUUCUAACACCACACCAAAACAGUCUUUUAGCGGCAUUUUUUGUGGCGUUUGAUUAACAAACGCUGCUAAAAAUCGAUCAUUAGCGGCGCUAAACCUAAAACGCCGCUAAAACCUGAAGAACUAGUGGCGUUUCUAAAAAAACGCCGUAAAAGAACAUAAUUAGUGGCGUUUAUUGUAAGCGCCGCAAAAUACCUUAACCAAAACGCAGCGUUGGUUCAAUUGUAUAUUAGAAUUCGUGGCGUUUUUUAUAAAAACACCGCUAAAGAAUAGUAUUAGCGGCGUUUAACAAAAAGCGCCGCAAAUAUCUUAAGGAAAACGCACCGUUUUAUCUUGAGGUAGAUUAAUAUUAGUGGCGUUUUUAAAAAAACGCCGUAAAAGAACAUAAUUAGUGGCGUUUAUUUGGAUGCGCCGCAAAAUACCUUAACCAAAACGCAGCGUUUGGUUCAAUUGUAUAUUAGACAUUGUGGCGUUUUCUAUAAAACGCCGCAGAAGAAUAGUAUUCGUGGCGUUUUCGGUAAAGCGCCGCAAAUAUCUUAAUGAAAAUGCACUGUUUCGUCUUGAGGUAGAUUAGUAUUAGUGGCAUUUUUAGAAAAACGCCGUAAAAGAACAUAAUUAGUGGCGUUUAUUUUUAUGCGCCGCAAAAUACCUUAACCAAAACGCAGUGUUUGGUUUUGAGGUAUAUAAGAUUUAGUGGCGUUUACGAUAAAACGCCGCAAACAUCUUAACGAAAAUGCACCGUUUGGUCUUGAGGUAGAUUAAUAUUAGUGGCGUUUUUUAAAAAACGCCGUAAAAGAACAUAAUUAGUGGCGUUUAUUUGGAAGCGCCGCAAAAUGCCUUAACCAAAACGCAGUGUUUGGUUUUGAUGUAUAUUAGAAUUAGUGGCGUUUAUGGUAAAACGCUGCUAAAGAAUAGUAUUAGCGGCGUUUUCGGUAAAGCGCCGCAAAACUACUUCAUCCCAACGACGCCGUUUUUGGCUUUUGGGGAUUUAGUGGCGUUUUUAUGAAGCGCCACUAAUACUCAGGGAUUUAAAAUAAUUUAAAAUAUUUGUUAAAAAUGGAUAAAUUAAAAUACUAUUGAUUUUUAAUUUAUGUGGUAAAUUAUUUCAAAUACAAUUGUAAGAGAUAAGAUAGUAUUGAUUUUAAAAUAUUUAAUUUAAUUAUCAUUAUAGUUUAGGGUUUAAUAAAUAUGGUUAGGGUAUAUAUAUGGUUAAUUAAUUUAAGAUUUAAGACCGGUUUAGGAGGUACAAUUUUAAGUUUUAUAGAUUAUGGAUUAAGGAUUCUGGUUUAAGGGUUAAUGUGAUUUAAGGUUUACAGAUUAGGGGUUAUGGGUUAGGGGUUAGGUUAGGGGUUAGAUGUUAAGAGUUAGGGUUUAGGAUUUAUAAAAUCGGUGUUAGGUUAGAGUUUCGGGUUUAGAUUAAUUAGUGUGUUUUAAGUAUAUAUUAAAUAAGUUUUAGGGGUUAGGGGUUAGAGAUCAUGGGUUAAGGGUUUAGGGUUAAGGGUUAAGGGUUAAAGGUUAGGGGUUAAGGGUUAGGGGUUACGGGUUAGGGAUUGGGUUAUGGUUUAAGGUUUAGAUUAAUUAGUGUUUUUUAUUUUAUAUUUUAAAUAAAGUUUAAGGGUUAGGGGUUAGGGUUAUGGGUUUGGAGUCGGGUUAGGGAUUAAGAUUUGGAUUAAUUAGUACUUAUUUAAUUAACAUAUUAAAUAAGUUCUUUAUAUAAAUGUAAAGGAGAUAAUAAUAAAUUGUAAAGAUUAUUAAUUUAAAAUUGAUAUGCAAUAUAUAAUAAUUUGGAAUUGUAAAAAAUUGUCAAAAUUACAAAAAAUAAAAUGAAAAUAAAAAAUAAAAAGAAAUAAAAAAACUAAAAUUUUUAUUUUUACCUAAUUUUUAUAAAUAUUACUUAAAAAACUGAGAUUGAUAAUUUUAUCUAAUUUUUUUAAAUAUUACCGAAAUUAACAAAACUAUUCAUUAAAAUCUGGCAAAACGGCGCCGUUUCAAUAGAAAAUUUAAUGUAGUAGUGGCGUUUUUAUUAAAAACGCCGCUAUAAAAUAGACAUUAGCGGCGUUUUAUAACAAACGCCGCGAAAUAUUCUUAAUAUUGGAGAUAAAACGGUGCAGUUUUUGGCUGAGAUUCAUACCAUUUGAUAAAAAACUGCGCCGUUUUAUUAUUUGAUUUUAGUGGCGCUUUAAAAAAAUGCCGCAAAUUAAUUUAACUAUGUUUUAAGAUUUACGCAAACGCUGCCAUUUUAUCUAUAUUAUUAGUGGCGAUUGGGCUAAAACGCCAGGAGUUCGAGUUAAUGGACUGCAUUUGGCCUAAUAUUUAGUAGCGUUUAUGUAUAAACGCCGCAAUUUUAAGAAAUUGUUUACGAAAACGGCUCCGUUUUCUUAUUUAUCUUUAGUGGCGCUUUUAGUACACGCCGCAAAAUUAUUUUAAUUUUUAUGGAGACGAUGCCGUUUUGUCUAAAACGCCAUGAGUUUUAGUUUACUAAUCGGGGAACGACAGCGUUUGAUCAUAUUACUAGUGGCGCUAGUAUAUAAACGCCGCAAAGUACAGAAAUUGUUUAGGAAAACGGCUUCGUUUUCUUAUUUACUUUUAGUGGCGCUUUUAGUAAACGCCGCAAAAAUGUUUUAAUUUUUAUGGAGACGAUGCCGUUUUCUCUAAAACGCAAUGACUUAGAGUUAACUAAUCGGGAAACGACAGCGUUUGAUCAUAUUACUAGUGGCGUUGGUAUAUUAACGCCGCAAAUGGGUUAAUUAUUUUGAUGAAAACGACGUCGUUUUUUUCCCAUCGUUUUGACUGAAGCUAAAACCCGAUUCUCCCCAUCCCCAACCUCAUUCUACCAAACCCCUAAAAUUUCCCUAAUCUCUUACUGCAUCACAACCUCUCAUUCUCUCAACCCGUCUGCUUCACUGCAUCAACGCCUCCGUCCGUGUCUGGUGCCGCAACUGUUCGGUAAGUUCAACUACUUCCUUCAUCUUCUUCAUGCGCGAAUGUUUCUGGAUAAUCUUUGCUAUUUGAACAAAUAUGGGUCUUUCGAAUAUUGACAUGGAAUUUGGGCUUUCAACAAAUAUUUACUAGCUAAUUGCGUACAGUAAAAUGGGUCUUUCGAAUAUUACUGGAAUUUGGGGCUUUUGAGCAUUUCGAUUUUCUCAUUUCAAAUUGAAUCAUUUACUGCUGUUCUGUCGAAAAUUAGUUUCCAUUGCUACCAUGUUGAAUCAUUUACUGCUGUUCUGUCGAAAAUUGCAAAAUUGUUCAAAAUUGUUCAAAACCAUGUCGAAAAUUCCAUUGCUACCAUGUUGAAUCAUUUGCUAUGGCAGGGCUAUUAUACUAAUAUUAGGAAAAAUCCAAUAGUGGCAAGGAACUGAACAAUUUUCGACAUUGUUCAAAACUUGUAAGUUCAAAUUUCUAAAGAGCAAAGUAAUAUUUUAUGUGUGAAAUCUGAGAUUCAAUCUUAUUUUUUUAUUUUUUCUUUGAUAAUAUAUUUAAAAUUUAUAUACAUUUUUAAUAUAUAAUAUAUAUAGUUUUAAUUGCUACCAUGUUGAAUCAUUUACUGCAUGUUGUUCUCUCGAAAAUUGCAAACUAGUGUUCAAAACCUAUUGAAUGAUAUCUAUUAAUAUUUGCUAUGGCAGGGCUACUAUACUACUAUUAGAAAAAAUCAUCAAUUACAAGUGGCAAGGAACUGAACAUCAUACAGCACUGUUCAAAACUUGUAAGUUCAAACUUCUAAAGAGCAAAGUAAUAUUUUUGGUUAUCGAAAUGGGAGAUUCAAAUCUUUUUUUUUUAUUUUUUUCUUUUAUAAUAUACUGAUAUACAUUUUUUGAUUCAUUCUCUUUAUUAUAUAUAGUUUUCUUUUUCUUUAUUUAGGAACAGAAACUAUAAACUGAUGAGGGAUUAUAAUUUAGACUUUGCUUAAAUCAUCAAAUGUAUUUAUUUGUUUGGAUUUCUUUCAUGAAAAUCAAUUCUUUUACUUGGUAACAAAUCUUGCAGCUUUGAAAGGAAUAUGGUCACAGAAAUUUCUGUUUCUCUAGCAUGUUAUGUUUCUGUACCAUUUUUAUGUUUCUUUAUUUUCUGUUUUCUGUUUUCUGUUUUUUGCAUUCUGUUUUCUGUUUUCUAUUUUUUGUUUUCUAUUUUGCUAUUUUCUGUUGAAUGAAGUGUUUAUCAAGUGGAAACAAAAACCGAGUGGUUCCCCCACUGCUCCAUCUUGGGGAGGUUGUCCAGUUUAGAUUAAUUUGUAUCAGCAGUUUGCUAAACAUUGAGAAAAAUAUUAUUUGUCAAAAUCAUCAAUUACAAGUUUUUCUUUUGAUGUGGUUAUGAGUUUUGUGAUGACAAAAGGAUGUUAGAGAGGAUUGGUUCAAUUUGAUGAUUCUAUCGAUCAAGUAACAACAUUAUCCACUUCUCUACUUGUAUAAUUCUGUGUGCUGUAACGGAAAUAGCAAAGAUAAUACAUAGGCAACAAUGAUUUUGACACAUUUUAGUUUUUAUUUAACUUAUUAAUAUUAAAAAAGUAUAUAUUCAUAUAUUUUAUCAUAACUUAUUAAUAUUAAAAAAUAUAUAUGUUAAUAUUUUUACAACAUAAUUUAACUUAUUACUAAUACAUAUAUUGUUCGAAUAUAAUUUUUUAAAAUUUAUAUAUUACAUGACUUAUAUAUAUAUAUGUUAAUAUUUUUACAAUUUAAUUUAACUUAUUACUAAUACAUAUAUUGUUCGAAUAUAAUUUUUCAAAAUUUAUAUGUUACAUUACUUAAAUAUAUAUAUGUUAAUAUUUUUACAAUUUAAUUUAACUUAUUACUAAUACAUAUAUUGUUCGAAUAUAAUUUUUUAAAAUUUAUAUAUUACAUGACUUAAAUAUAUAUAUGUUAAUAUUUUUACAAUUUAAUUUAACUUAUUACUAAUACAUAUAUUGUUCGAUAUGUUCUGUUUCACCACGAAUCAAUGGAACCUUUACGCAAGUAAGUUCUAGAAAUUUGAUAAAUAUUCAUCGUUUAAAAAAUUGUUUAUAGUCUAACAAACUGAACAUUUUUUUAACAUAGUGAGUACAAACAAAUAUUGAGAUCUCGUUCGCGCUCCCGAAGAACACAACAUCGAGAUAUCAAUAAGUUGUUUACAGAAUCUUUUCAUAAAUGGUUAAGCCAAACGGUAUGUAAUUGGAGCUUUCACCGACAAAUAAUAAUAUUUACUCAAAACAUUUUUAAUUUCUCAGUUUACUUUCCAUUCAAUAGGUUUGGAGUGGGAAGAACGUCACUGACGAAGUUAAAUGGCUUUCCCAAGGUCCAAAUCGGGUGGUUAAAAGAUAUAGUGCGUUCCUCGUAAACGGAUUCAGAUUUCAUAUAAAAUAUCGCGAGAGAUUGAGGAGAACGCAAAAUUGUGGAAUAGUGGUUAAUUCCUUAAUUACAAGUUAUGCUAGUGCUAGGGACAAUAAUCCUGUGGAGGGAAAUGUGGAAUAUUUUGGACUUCUUACUGACAUAAUUGAGUUGGAUUACUACGGAAAAUGGAAAGUUGUCUUAUUUCGAGAUGAUUGGGCCGAUGUUAAUACUGCACGUGGAAUCAAGCAAGAUCAAUUUGGUUUCACAAUGGUAAACUUCGAUCGAUUGAUUCACACAGGACAACAAUUGAUUGAUGAGCCGUAUGUAUUUUCUUCUCAAGUCAAACAAGUUUUUAACUCAAAAGACCCAACUAAUGAGGGUUGGUACGUUGUACUCCGUAACAUACCUAGAGACUUGUUCGACAUGGGCAGUGGAAGUAGAGAUGACAUUGACAACAGAACACAAACUUUACCAUUUCCAGAACAGAACUUAAACGAAAACAUCCCUAGUACUAGUACACAAUUUCAAUGGGUCCGCCAGGAUAUGGAUGAAGAGACUUACGAAUUAUAAUGUAGUAAGCUUUUACGAUUAUCUAAUUACAUCUACGAAUGAUGAUAUUUCAACUAUUUUAUAUGUGAUAUUAUUGUUGUAAUUGUAUGAUAAGUUUUCAACUAAUUUAUUUGUAUUGCAGAUAAAAUGCCUAGAAGAAAAGUGCGAUUGCACCGCAUUGUUCAAUGUACUCCAAACUCGCGGAAACAAACAGCACUGAACAACAGACUGCUGUUGGAUCUUCGAAUGUUCCGGUUACACCUGAGGAACCUAUAGAAGUUCAAAGUAAUUUAACAUUUAAUUUACAUGUGUGUUGACAUCUUGUUUGUUUUUUUUUCUAAUUUUGUAUAUUACAAUACUUUUAUUUUUCAGAUGAAACUGGUGGGACGCGGAGAGGUCGCGGACGUACGGUAUUGAGCGAUUUAUACGACCUAGAUCCAGUCGAGCGUGUCCAAGUAUCCAGUAAUAGCUUUGGUCAGCCUGUUGGAUCAGAAGCUCACCUUUUAGCAGGAUACAUGGGCAUUCUAGCACGGAAUGCAAAUAUGUUGCCAAUUAACUUCGAGUCAUGGCAUAAAGUGCCCGAGAGUAACAAGAACCAAGCUCUCGAUAACAUUAAGGUAACAAAACGUGUAUGUCAUUUAUAAUACUUGAGUUUAAGUUUCGUUUACAUUUACUUUCUUAAGUUGUGUUUUUUGUAGGCGAGAUUUGCUCUAGAGGUCUUCGAUGCUUAUGUAAAGAAGGCAUUGGAAAAAGAUGGAGAGACCAUAAGAGCACUUUAAAGAAAGACUAUUUUAAGACAAAAACAACACUGGACGAGAGAUUACAAAAUGUCCCGCCGGGAAUGCUGAGGUACCAGUGGGAAGAGGUCGUUAGAUUUUGGACUUCAAAGAAAGGAGAGGUAUGUGUAACUUAUAAAAUUUUCAAAUUAUUUUGGUGUAUAGUAUUUCCUAAUUAAUGUACUAAUAAUUUCAUAAUGUAGGAUCGUGAAGAAGUUGGAAAAAAAAGUAGGCAGCAACAAAAAUUCACUCACACAGCUGGGUCGAAAAGUUUUGCGUGUGUAGCUCAUGCAGAGGUAUUUUCAAUUUGAUAAUUGAGAAAUAUUUACUACUUACUUACAUUAAUAUUUUUACUAUUGUAUUGUAGGAACUGUCGUCCGGUCAAAAAGUUGGACGCCUUCAACUUUUUGACAUUACACAUAGGAAGAAAGAUGGAAACCCUAUGACUCCUGAAGCUGCAGAAAUUAUGGUACGUUUGCUUAAUUAAUACAAUUUCACUUUUUUUAAUUAUUUAUAGUGUUUAUUUUCUAAUGAUUUUUUCAUUUAUUGUAAUGCAAAUAUUGUUAAGUUAUGUUGCAUUGGGUUUUUUAAUAUAUAUUGCGUUCCUAACUAUUUGAUUUAUUUUUUAGGAAAAAUUAAAGGAUAAAAAGGCGGAGUACGAAGCGAUUGCUUCCAGUGAUAGUUCUGUUCAUAUUGACGACAUUGAUAACCGGAUUAUCACUGAAGUUUUGGGUCCUGAAAGGUAUGGUCGGGUUCGAUUUUAAGGAUCUUUUGUUAACCCAUCCCAAUUUUUUGGAUCUAGCUCGCAACAAUAUAUGCCUUCGGGGAGUCGAGCCGAAGCUGAAGUUCAGAGGUUAAGAGACCAGAUGGCUCGUAUGCAAGCGACAACAAUUGAGCAAAUUACACAACUUAAAGCGGAGGCAACAUCGAGAGAAGCUGAGGUUCAAAAAAGAUAUGAAGAACUCCAGCUACAACUGAAAGCAGAUGCAGCAGCGAGAGAAGCUGAGGUUCAACGAAAGUAUGAAGAACUCCAGCAGCAGCUUAAAGCAGAUGCGGCAGCAAGAGAAGCAGAGGCGGCAGCGAGAGAAGUACAGGCUGCAGCGAGGGAAGCAGAGGCUAAAGCGAGGGAAGUAGAGGCUGCAGUGAGGGAAGCAGAGCAGCUUCAAAAGUUCGAUGAACUCCAGCAGCAGCUUCAGAGUAUGAUGAAGAUGUUUCAGCAGUCGCAACAGCCGCCGUCUUAGACAUCGUGUAAAUAUACUUCGAUUUUGACUUUUAAUUUUCAUUUUAACUUUUAACAUUUUUGUAAGAAUAAUACGAUUUUUAUUUUAUUUAUUGAUAUUUAUUAUAUUAUUUGUUUAAUAUAUUUAUUUAUUACUUUUGGCUGGUUUAGAUAUGAUUUCUUUUGAUUUGUUUUUACAGGAGGGCUGAAAAUAUAAAAAAAUUUAUUUUACAAAUCUGCCAAAUUUAGUGGCGUUUUUUUAAAAAACGCCACUAAAGGUGUUGGCCUUUAGUGGCGUUUUUGGUCAAAGCGCCGCUAUAGAUCAGGGUCUAUUGCGGCAUUUUAGGGGAAAGCGCCGCUAAAGACCCUGAUCUUUAGUGGCGUUUUUGCGAAAAGCGCUGCUAAAGAUUAGGGUCUUUAGCGACGCUUCCACUAAAGCGCUGCUAAAGGUCUUAGUCUUCAGCGGCGUUUGUGCAAGAUUCACCGCUAAAAAUCAGGGUCUUUAGCGGCGCAUUCAUUAGCGGCGUCUGUUGCGGCGCUUUUAAAAGCACCGCUAAAAGUAUCUGUGGCUAAAAAGCGCCGCUAAAAGUAUCUGCGGCGCUAAAAAGCGACGCUAAAGGCCUAAAAAAGCGCCGCUAAAAGCCUGUUUUGGUGUAGUGUAAUAUUUUCUUUUUAAAACUUGUGCCCAUAAUAAAUAUAGACAAGCUGUUCUCCAUAUUCAAAUGAACCUAGGCAUACUUAUGUCCACGUCAACAGCAUGAUGUCUGACUUAACAAUCAUAUUAGCACAAUAAUGAUUAAUGACGGAAACAUUAAUCAAAGGACUGAAUUGAUGAAAAUUUUAAUAUUUAAGAGCUUAUUUGAAUUAUUUUCGAAAUGGAUUAAUUAAUUUUUUUGAAAAAAUUCAAGGGUUUUUCAAUAUCUUAAACCUAAUUUUUGUAAUAAUUUAUAAAUUUUUAAUAAAUAUUUUAUAAAUUUUUAAAUUUUUAUAAUUUAAAAACUAUUAUAGAGGUUUUAUUUUAUUGAGUUACUUUUCAAUUACAUUGAAUUUAGAUUAAAAUUUCAAAUAAUCAGUUAAAAUCAUCAUUAUUUAAAUUUAAUCAUAUAAACGAAAUCUAUAUGGGAUUAAACACUUCGACUUAAAUUGGGUAAACUACUAAAAUAGUCACUUUUGUUUGGCUCAUGUUACAUUUUAGUCACUUAUGUUUGAAAUGUUACGUUUUAGUCACUUAUGUUAUCACGUUGUAACAUUUUAGUCACUGAGCUGUUAGUUUCUGUUAACGGUAUAACAGUAAACUGAUGUGGUACAUUAAAUCAUCAUUUCAAACAAAAAUUCUAGAUUAAUUUAUACAAUCGGUCCCCAUAUUUUUUUCAUUUGGAGCAAUUUAAUUUUUUUCUUUAAUGUUUUUUUAACUUUCUUUCUUUUCCAUUCGCUUAUGCUUCUCCCUUUGUUUUCCACCCUUCUCCAUUUCUUUCAACGUAGUUUUUCUAUGUUUUAUUUUUUUGAACAAUUUAAUUUUUUCGAGUGAGGCGAGCUUGUGGACUAGUUACAAAUGGAAAACAUAGAAAAACUAUGUUAAAAGAAAUGAAGAAGGGAGGAAAAUAGAGGGAGAAGCAUAUGAGAAUGGAAAAAAAAAAGGUAGAAGAACAUAAAAGAAAAUUUUUAAAUUGUAGAAAAUAAAAAAAAUAUAGAGACCAAUUGUAGAAUUUAACCUAAAAUUUUUGUUUGAAAUGAUAAUUUAACGUGCCACAUCAGCUUAUCGUUACACCAUCGUCGGCAAUUAAUGACUCAGUGACUAAAAUGUUACAACACGAUAACGUAAGUGACUAAAACGUAACAUUUCAAACAAAAAUGACUAAAAUGUAACUUAAGACAAAUAAAAGUAACUAUUUUGGUAGUUUACCCUAAAUUUAAAUGUUGAAAGAUUCAAAAACCUCUUUUAUAACUAAUAAUUGAAAAUAUAAUUAUUUUGAAGAAAGAAAAAGAGCUAUAGCCGGACCAAAUUUGCAUAAAGCCGUCCAAGACAUCACAGUCAACAAGUGCUGCCAAUGAGUAAACCCAACGUAGACUGGUAGUCAACUCCGUUUGGAGUUCUCGGCUUUUUUUAAAAAAUAAUUCUAAAAAAUUAAUCAAUUAUAAAAAUGGGGUUUUUUUACCUAUAUUAUAAAAUUAAAAAAAUAUUGAAAUUGCAUGUUAAAAAGAUUAUGUACCAAAAUAGUAUAUUCAAAGAGAUAAAGGGUGGUGCAUAAGCGGCAUCACCCUAGAAUUAUGACAUAUUUUAGUUAAAAAAUAAUAAUAUUAUUAUAAUAGUGGUGCCAAAGUGAUAGGCGGCACCACUUUUUUUCUAGAAUGGUAUAUAUGCGGUAUUUUAUACAAAAGGGGUAUGGUGCCUAUCCGAUAGACGACACCAGUGAGCCCUAUCUGAUAGGUGGCACCAGCAGCAUUUUCCCCCCUUUGCUCCCCCAUCCGGCUCAAUUUUAGUAUCAAUUAAAAAAAAUAACAGAACAAGAGAGGGAGAAGAGAAGAAAGAAAAUGUAUUAUUUUUUUUAUUGUUAUUUUCAAAUAUAAUAGAUUAUAGUGAGAAAAAAUUAUUUUGUUAGUAUUAUUAGUUUGUUUAGUGUUAUUUUUAUGUUUUGUUUUAAAGUUAUUUUGUUUAUUAUAAUUUGUUAGUAAGUUUUGUGUUUAGAUUAAUUAUUUGUUUAAGGUUUAUUUUGAUUUGUUAGGUAAUGAAUGUUAUGUUUUAAAUUUUUUUAAUAUAUUUGAAAGUUUUUAUGUUAGUAACUAUUAUAAAGUAAUUGUUAGUUAAUGAUAACAAUAGAAAAAAAUAGAUAAAUACUGAAAAUAUUCCUGUCAUAAAUAUUGUUAGAAAUGGCAAUAAACUUGAUAUUGUUAGAAAUGAUCUAUUUUUAUUCAUUAAAAUUUUAAUGUAAGUAUUUUUAUGUUGUUCAAAAUUAUUUUGAGAAUUUUUGUUUAUUUUUUUAACAGAUUGAGUAUUGAAGAUAGAUAAUCAAUUUUUCGUAUGCGUUUAUUUAGACGGAAUCAUCUUGACAACAAUCGUUGGAUGUAUAUUUGAAUGUCGACAAUAAAUAGCAAUGAGAUUUAAUAGAAAUGUCUUGUUCGAUGAUAUGAAAGAAAUGAUUAACGCAAAAAUUAUUAGACGUUGUGGGAGAAGGAUCUCAAAACUUUUUUUACUAGUUUCUAGUUUCGAUAGAUCCCAUCAAAUUCACUGAAAUGGAACUUGUAGAUGAUGAAGACGUGGAGACAAUGAUCACUCUUUAUUGUGGGAAUCGGAGUGACCAAAAUGCACCGAUUCAGUUAUUUGCUGAGUUAGCUGGUGUGGAGCCAACUGAAGAUCUCACUGCAUCUGGUGAAGAACAUGGAGCUCAAGAAUCGUGUAUGGUGGCUCCAAUAUCGUACAUUGAUAGUGUAUCGACUAUAUGCGAGAUCGAUAUCGAUCUUAAUUGUAACACCUCAACCCAACCUAGACGUUAUGGUCAAAUCUGGCGUGUCACAUUGAAGUGUCUUUUGAAAAUUGGACUUGUUGGUAAAAUUUUCGUUUCUAAGUUUAAAAACCCCUUUAUUAUUUUUUAACAAAUCAACUAGUCAAAACGUUUUUCUUGUUAUCUGCUAUUGUUAUAAUAGGUUGAUCUAAAAUCGCGGAAGCUUUUGAAAACUCUAAUGUUUAAAUUUCGUGUAUUUGAAAACAGUAAUUAUUUUGAAAAUUCGUCUUCUCCUAAACUAGCAGUUUAAAAUAAGUAAGCAAAAUCUUAAUUAAAAAUUUAAACAAACAUAAAUGGCCUUAUUACAUAAACAAAACCCAACACAAACUUUAAAUUUAAAUAAAAGCAAGUGUAGAACAGCUGCAGUUGUGUGGCCACCUCUGAGUCCCUCGCAGCGCCAAAUCGCCUAAGGCUGAGGAUUACCUGUACAGUUAAAAGGAAAUGUUGAGUUUACGAAAACUCAGUGCGUAAACCCCUAUCAGUUAGUCAGUAUACAACAUGCAGUAAUAGUCUAGGCCUGAGCCCUAUUUAGUAACAGUACAGUGUGGCCUUAGCCCAAUACAGUAACAGUGUGGGCCUUAGCCCAUUACAGUAUCAAUACAGUGCAAUAAUGCAACCCAUUCCAAUCCAGCCAACACACCACUCUGUACAACCAACACACCAUAUGUGGAUAAAAUCAACCCACCCAGCCAACACACCAAUAUUGCAGCAAAGCUGCCAGUAAUAGUAACGCAGCAAAACUGCCAGUAUCAGUAUCGUAGCAAAGCUGUUAGUACAGUAUACUUCCUCCAUAACAGUAUCUCAACCCCAUGUAGUAUGUCGUGUCAUAAAUCAUACGUGUAUGCAGAAUUUCAUACUCAGUAAUAGUCAUAUACAAAUCAUGAACACAUCAGUCAACCUACCUCUAAGGGUAUAACGAUCAUUUUCAUCAAUUAAGGGUAAAACAGCCAUUUUACCCUUUAAGGGUAAUUUGGUCAUGGUCAUUUUACCUAUUUUAGGGUCUCGGUGUAGAUAUCGACCUCUCGAAAGGUUUACAGUCGUCUCGAGCUACUCAGGUAACCUAAAUGGUCAUAAUAGUGUAAAUAGGCCCAAUGACCAUUAUUCGGCCCAAGUGGGCCUACACGCUCGUGCGGCCCGUUCAGCCCAAAUUUCUCCACGGCUAUGAGAUCUACAUAGCCCAAUCCAGUAUUUGCCACAAAUCGUGGAUUUUAUCUAUAUGGGGCCCACGAACGCAUUAAGCCCACACAACACAUUUUGGCCCAACGUGGCCCAUUACGGCCUAAGCCCAUGAAAAUGCUCAUGGAGACCUCUACAGUCUAUCGCCCAAGGUUUGUGGGUUUGGCUUACCACACGAGCAAUCGCACGCUCGUGUGGUCUCAAAUGCCGUAUUUUUGGCUUUUCCGCUUUUUCUGUUCUACAGUUAUAGUGGGGUAUUUACACACCUAUUUACGAGAAAAGUGCAAAUCUCUAUGUACACCAACCUUGCUUGAAUGAGGGCGACUUUAGUCCUCUAAGAUCGCUUAUCGAAAGUGAUCACACGCUUUUAUCGAUUAUCUCGAUUGAAUGCCGAGAACAAGGGUUGCGGCUACUUCAAAACCAUUUACACUCUACCACUACUCGAGGAAAACCCGAUAAUCAAAAACACUUAUAGCAUUGGAAAAACAAAAAUAGCGAAGAGAAGAUUGGCGCAGAGAGUGAUAUAAAACAAAAUGGUGAUAUUCGGCCAAAAGAGAGUACAGAUUAAGGAAGAGAAGAAAAAAGAAAAAGAAAUGGAAUAGUUGCUCACAAAAUCGACUAAUAACUUUUGACCAAAAAGAAAGGGACUUUUGUUGAAUAAUGCACAACAACCAAUACAAACCCGAAUGAGCCAAAAGCUGGUAAAUGAAAGAAAAGAAAAAGAAGAAUUCGGCACAACACUUCCCCAGCCGAAAAUGAAAAAGAAAUGGCAGAUGCUAACACCAAAUUAUUUCUCCAAUACCGAAAAUGACAAACAUUUCCCUAGCUAAAUUCUCAAAGUUAGAGUUUCCCCAAACGGCACAACACUUCCUCUCAAUUGAAGUCAUUGAUUUUCUCCUAGUAUCUCUCCCCUUAUCCCUCCUUGAAUUACUCCACCGAUUUCUCCUCAACUCCCUCAACAACCCCAUUCAAAUUCUAUUCAAACUCCCAUUAGCUGUGUUUCAGUCCAACUCCACUACCUAUACAGCUCAAGCAACAAAAUAAAUACUCUAUUGCACAAUCAGAACUUGAACCUCAGACCUCACAGUUACACAAUACGCCACCUUGGCACUAGACCACAAGCUCUUUUUGCGUCAUAAAACAAACACUAUUAUUUAUAAGGCCUAUAUGCCAGUGUCCAGAUUCAUUUAAGAGCAAAACUAAAAAUUUUAUAGAAGCCAAGACUUAAACCUAGGCUUCUCAAACACUUCCAUACACACCCAAAUCACUUAGCCAUUAAAGCAAACAAGCAAUUUGUGUCAUAUCAUGCAAAAAAAAUAAAGACUUAAAUUUUUGGGGCGUUACAUUAAUGUUGCACCCGAUAUUGAUGUGAUUGGUGAUAAUGGAUAUGGUAGUAGUGAUCCUUGUGAUCAAGAGGUCGAUAGUGAUAGUGAUCCUGAUGUGGACAAGGUCAUCGAUGAUAUUAAUGACGAUGACAUGAAUGACGAUGGAAACAUUAACGCGUCUUCAGUCGGAAACUAGGUUCGACAUAUUAUGAUACACAAUAAUAUUGGGUCAUACAUGUCGCUCAUAGACCCCGACGCGGCGUACAUAGCCGAGUUCUUGAAGUACCAUAAAAUAUUACUUGCUCACCAACUGACCGGAGAUUUCAAUCCUGGGGAGUUGUUAGUAGGCUAGAAAUUUGAAAGUAAGGAAGAGUGUGUAUUUGCUAUUAAAUGGUAUAGCAUGAAUAUAUCAACGGACUAUAAAGUCGUAGUGUCUAAACUGACAUUAUAUAUUGGGGAGUGUUAGAAGUCAACGAAAUGCUGCAAUUAGCGGGGUGGAGCUGCAUUUAUUCAAAAGUCGUAGAUGUGAAAGAUAAAAAAAUUUGUUGGGCCUCACACAUGCACAUCAGCAUAUAUAACAGAAGAUCAUCGAAAACUUGAUUCUAAAACUAUCUGUACAUGUAUCAUGCCAAUGGUGAAGGACAUGUUGACAAUUAAAGUUUCAGUAUUGAUUACUGAAAUACAGGUACGAUUCUAAUAUCGAGUAUCAUACCGAAAGGUAUGGAUAGCUAAACAGAUGAAAAUGAAGUAAUUGUACGGGGAUUUCGAUGCAUCGUACAAUAAGCUACAUGGAUAGAUAACUGCUAUGCGAGAGUAUGUACUGGGGCCUGUCAUUGAGUUACAAACAAGGCUUUAUUACGGCUUGGAUGACCAACUACAAACGGGAAAAAGAAUUUUUCAUCAGAUGUUCUGGAUGUUUAAUCCAUGUGUGUGCGUAUUUCCCCACUGCAAGCCGUUUGUGUAAAUAGAUAGGACCUGGCUAUACGAAAAAUAUACACAGAUCCUACUUUUUACGGUUGUUCGACACGGAAACAAGAACGUGCUCCCAAUAGUAUUUGCCAUUGUAGAUAAGAAGAGCAUGGAAUCGUGAGAAUUCUUCUUUACCAACCUGCGGAGGUAUGUUAUUAGAAACAAUAAUAUUUGCAUCAUCUCUGAUAGAGGGAAAGAAUUAAUUACCGCCAUUAGGCGUUCCAAUGUGCCCUAGAGAUUCGUUUACUAUAUGCGACACAUCGCAACUAACUUUCAUCGAGAUUAUAAGCAUGCAAACUGGUGGAGACAAGUUGUAAGAAUGGGUAAAUGAUAACCUUAUCUUUUCAAUAUAAGUUUUAAUGUUUUAGGGUAAUACUGAAACUUAUCUUUUCGUAAUACAUAUACAACGCACGAGCUAAAGCCACACAUUUUUCGCUAAAAAAUGACUCGACUUGAAAGUGACAUGAAGGGUCAAAUGAACACAUCUUUCUGAUAGUGGUUGGGUGGAACUGUGGCAAUGAGCUCAAAGUUUUAACGAGGGUUUUCACUAUAGUCAUAUUACCACAAACUUGGUGGAGGAGAUCAACUCUGUGUUGUUGAAAACACAACAUCUUCUGAUUUCAUCUGUCUUCUCGGCUACAUUUUACAAGUUGGCUACCUUGAUGCCAAGAAUGGGUCAACAACAAGUCAACCAGAUGGAGGCGGGACACAUAUUUUUCGAAGAUGUUAGGGAUGCAAUGGUUGCAAAUCAUCGGAUGACGAGGUCGAUAAAUGUAGAAGUAUAUUCACAACGUCUUGAAACAUUUCGAGUUACGGAGACCAUCGCUUGUCGACCCGGUAUACCAUCUAGGUCCAAUGGAGUUGAUCUCCGAAAUAAAAAAAUACGAUUGCAAGAGGUUCCAAACACUUCAUUAUCCAUGUGUGCAUGUCGUGGCAGCGUGUGCUAAAGUCUCGCUCAAUGUUGAACAAUUUAUCGAUGAUGUGUACACUCUUGAGCGCAUGUUGCGUAUCUGGGAGAAUGAGUUUCCCGUCCUGCCUGACCUGUCUACGUGAGAGGUGCCUCUGACGACUUUCGAGCUUGUCCCAGAUAAAGGGUUGCGUAGGAAUCCGAAAGGUCGUCCGCAAUCAUCCAGAAUUCAUAAUAAAAUGGACAUUAGGGAGACAUUCGACAGUAAGCGUUAUGGAUUAUGCAAAUUAGCUGGUCAUAAUCUGAGUAAAUGCCCGCAGCGAAACUACCAUACUGGACAAUCAUCACGAUCGGGUAGGAAUUGAGCUUAUGUGAUCCAAUGUACCUAAUUUAUAUUACAAAGUUUGUUCCAAGUUUUAAUGUUGUAAUGUAUUUAAUUUAUAUAACAAAAUUUAUAUUACAAAGUUUGUUCCAAGUUUUAAUAUUGUAAUGUAUUUAAUUUAUAUUACAAAAUUUAUAUUACAAAGUUUGUUCCAAGUUUUAAUGUUGUAAUGUUGUAAUGUUGCAAUUAAUUUAAUUUAUGACCACAAAGUUUGUUCCAAGUUUUAAUGUUGUAAUGUUAUAAUGCUACAAUUAAUCUAAUUUAUGACCACAAAGUUUGUUCUAAGUUUUAAUGUUGCAAUUAAUUUAAUUAAAUAAAUACAAAGAUUAUCUUUUUCUUGAUUUAUAUUUUUUCAGAAUAAAAAAGUACAAACUUUGUAAUAUUUAAAUUGAAACCCCUAAAAUUGAUGGUUUGAUGGUGUGGUCCUAGGGGUAUAUUUCUGCGGGGGGUCGACGUUCACGUUUUGGGUGAUCGAGGUGAUCAACAUCCUCUUCAAUCGCAGGUGGGGGUGUGCAAAAUAUGGAAGAAAAAUUAUAUGCCCCGAAUGCCAUUGAUGAACUUGAGUCAAAAGGAGUGUUGUACUACGAUGGAUACGACCCAGGAGGAAUAGAGUAAUGCGGUGGAUACGGGCCGAGAGGAGCUGUACUGCGGUGUUACUGGACUAAAGUCUGGGAAAUAGUCAUUGACCCGCAACUCCGAAUGAUAAGAACUAUCACUGGAAUGUGUAUGUGACUGCUCGGGCUUUAACUCUGGCUUGGGCUCGAUCUCAAGCUCUAGCUCUAGCUCGGCCUUUAUAUCAAGCACUGGCUCAUAUGCCCUAAGUCAAUGCAUGUGCGAGGGGACUACAGUCGACUGCCCACUAAGUAAAUAUGGUUUUUUUUGUACUAGAGUACCAUUGUAUGUACUCUAACGAUGGUUGCAAAUCGGAAGAAAUAUCCAUAUGAGGUAUCUGCGCCAUCCGAUUAUCCCAUAUUGCAAUAUAUUUCUGGAGCACAACCCCCGAAUUAUUUCCAUGUUUUCCUCUCUUGUUAAUCCCGUGAAUCUUCUCCAAUUGCAUUGGUGGAGCUGGGAUAUACUGGAUGCAACCAAACUGCCGGAGUACUCGAUCCCCAUUAUACCACCUAACUAUCUAGAAAAUGAUAAUUGGUGUGUUAAUGCACCACAGGUGAGAAUAAAUAUAUGCAGACGAGGGUAUAACAACUGCAAUUUUUGGUCUCUAAUACAGCAUCCAGAUAAACUGCACGAUUAAUAACAUGGUUAAAAUUUAACACGGUUCGAGUAAGAUAUACAAAGUAAUUACAUGUCACAAAUAUUGGAAUAGUCAGAACUGCGGAACCCCAACUAUAUGAGCGAACAUUUUACAAAUCAGCUAAUAGGGGUAAAUACAUCAAAUGAACCCUGUUGUUGUUCGCAUCCGGCAUCAAUACACCCCCUAUAAUAUGCAUAAUGUACGCUUGAGCUGCGCACAUCACCUCAUACUCAGUGGCAUUAAUUAAUAAAUGUUGAAAUUUGGUUUUCAGCCAUGAAAAUCUCAAACUCGUAAAUUUGGACACAACAUCGUUGGGUGAGACUCCUAAUAGGUUAUAACAAAGGGCAAUCAGCUUAGCUAUCGUACUUACGCCCGUUACGACACUGCCAUUGAUUGGGAGCCCAAGUUGCAAUGCAACAUCCUCCAGAGUGACAGUGCACUCCCCACACAACAAAUAAAAAGUGUGGGUCUCUAGGCGCCAACGCUCGACCAAUACGGAUAUUAAAUCGUACCACAAAUCAAACGUUCGGACCAAUACUGCUGACCCGAAUCCAGCUAACUCCAUGUAUGGCAUCAGUCGUCCAUUCGGGGAAUAUCACGACCCUUCAAUGCGUGGUUCGAGCCCUAACACUAUGAAAUUACAGAAAAUAGUUAUAAUAACAUAAUUUAUUUCCGUAAAUGACGUAGAACUUUUUUAAGGGAACCCGUGAUUAACAAAUAACAAUAUAUUACCAUAUUAUUAACUGUGUUUGAUAUGCGACCAACGUUCUUAAUCAAUGAACCCAUUGCGAUUCCUGUAAUUUCAAAACAACUUUUGGUAAUUAAUUUCAAAGUUUGAUGCAUUUUAAGUAUUUAUCAAAAUGCCUAAAUUUUAUAUAUUGCUUUUAAUUACAAAAAAAUACCAAACGGUUUUGUCCACAUCAUAUUUUUUGCCAUACUACAUUAACAAAAUAAAUAUAUCUUAUAAAUUCCAACUCAAACUCCAACUCAAUGGUCCCAUUCACAAAUUCCAUCUCAAUGGUUUAAUCUUUUACCUACAUAAAAAAUAAAAAAAUUUAUAUUAAAAUAAUAAAAAUAACAUGCCAAUAAAAAAAUAUAACAAAAACAUAAUAAAUACAAAUAUUUUUAUUAUAAUAUUAAAAUGAUAAUAAGUAAAAUGUAUUGAUUUAAAAUAUAAUAUAUAUAUAAUAACAUGCCAACUUAAUUAUUAUCAAAAAAUAUUUUUAUUUUUUGUAUAGAAGGAUUUAAAAGAAAUUUCAUUUAUAAUAUUUAUAAAAAACAUAAAAUAAAAUUUAAAAACAUAAACUCUUAUUCUCAAUUAUAAAAUCUUAAUAAAUUAGAACAUAUAAACUAUGAUUCCUAAUUUAUCUCAUAAAUUUCAGCUCAAUGAUCCCAUUCACAAAUUCCAUAUCAAUGGUCUCAUCUUUUACCUACAUAAAAAAUAAAAAAAUUAUAUUAAAAUAAUCAAAAUAACAUGCCAAAUAAAUUACAUAAAAAUAAAACAUUCUUUGUACAUAAUAUAAAUAGGCUUUUUUACGUCAAUAAACAUUAAAAAUAAAUUAUGAAUGAAUGAAAAUAUAAAAUAAAUAUAAACAUAUCUUAAUAGCUCUUUUUAACCAAAUAAUACCUUACAAAAAUAAAUUUAAAAAUUAAAUCCGAAUUAAAUCAACAAUAAUAACAACAAAAACAAAUUAACAUUAAUUUAUAACAAAAAAAUCUUUUCUUAAACAAUUAAUCUUCCCUAAACAACAAACUCUCCUUUCAUUUUCUAUUUAUUUUUUUCCUUCUCUUUCUCCUUCCCUCUCUCUAUUCUGCUUCUCUUUUUUUCUUUCUUUUUCCCUUCCCUUCCCUUCCCUUCCCGCCCUCUCCUUCUUCUUCUUCUCUUCUUCAAACACUUUCUUUUCUCUUUUGACCAAAAAUGGGGCAUUGGAGACCUUAUAAUGGUCCCCAAACACACAACUCACGGGCUACAAAGAUGAUUCGUCCCAUCGCUAACAACCGCAUCCCAGUGCCGCCUGUGGAGAUGGCGUGACUUGGGGUGCCGUCUCUACACUAAGCGUGACCAGGCGGUGCCACCUCUCCAGUAGGCAUGACCCCUGCCGCUCAGUUGCCGCUCAGUUGUGUUGUUUCAUCAAUGACAGCGGGUCAAGUUUUUGGGUCAAGUUUUUUUCGUAUACGAGUCGUAUUUGACCCGUGUUUUCUUUAGGUGCCACCUAUUAAUUUACCUUCACCAGUUUUUAUUUUUAUUUUUAUUAUUGUUUUCAAUCAAAUUUUGUCAGAAUUCUAGGGUAGUGCCGCCUAUGCACCACCCUCCACCUGUUUGAAUGUACCAUUUUGGUACAUAUUUUUUAAAACAUGCUAUUUUAGUAUUUUUUAUUUUAUAAUAUUUAGGUAAAAAAGCCCAUAAAAAUGGUUUGAAGGAAAAAAAUUAUAUUCGAAAAUAAUUUGCUUGCUAUAGCUAUUGUCAGUGUUGUUGGACACAUUAAGAGUACCACCUUUAUUUUUCACCUCAUUAUCUACUAAUCAUUAUAUUUAAAAAUAAUUUUGGAGUCGUUAUUAUAUCAAGAGGCAUUCGCAUAUAUAUUUUAAAAUAUAUAUAAAAAAUAUGGGUAUCUACAAUAAAAAAUAAAAAAAUUUAAUUGAUGUCUAGUGUGUCGAGUAUCACCAGUCAAAUAUUUUUUAAAAAAUUAUUUAUAUUUUUAAAUUUAUUGUUGAAAAGAAAAAAGAUUAAAAAAAUAUUUUACAUGGGUAUCGCUUCACAAGCAGAGCCAGAUUUUUUUUUUUUUUGGGUACUUUCUUUCAUUGAUUUGAUCACCAUUUUAGCACCUUGUGAUUGAAACGACCCACAGCCACUGGUUCAAUCCCCAGGGUCUGUGAGAGAGAAGGUCUGGCUUUGACCAAACCACCCAUUGGGUUUAUUUUAUAUGAAAUAUAAAAUAAGAAAGUGUAAAACCUUUUUGACAGUGUCUCUUGGCUGACACGCAUAAAAAAUUAAAAUAGUGUAGUAGAUACGUCAGGUUGUACUUAUAAAAAAUUAUUUUUUUUAUAUAUGUUUUUAUCUACAUCUGAAAAUAUAAAAAUAAUUUUAAAAAAAUUGAUCGCUGUCGUUUAGCAAAUAGCGGUAUCUGGUAAAAAAAAAUUUUACUGUAAAUAUUCAUAUUUUUUUUAGAUAUUUCAAAAAAUAUAUAAAGAUGUUGUUUAAUACAGCGAUGACACUAAAUUUUCUUAAAAUAUGAUGAUUCGGUGAAAAAUAAAAAUGGUAUCGUCGAUAAGUCAAGUGGCAUCGGUGAUAACUAUAACAAACAAAUCAUUUUCAUAUAUAUUUUUUUCAAAUAUUUUCAUAAUUAAUUAAUUUUUUAAGAUUAUCUUUACAAAAAAAACCCACUUAUCUAUUCUAUAGGUUAAAAGUUUAAUUUAUUUUUUAUCAAUCAAGUCAAAAUUUGAUUGUAAAAGCCCCUUAUCAAUUUAUCUAUACUAUAUAUUAACAAUUUAAUUAAAUUAGUAUUAGAAAUUAAUUGAAUCUUAAUUUAUUUGUAAAAUUAUUAAAAAUAUUUUUAUAAAAUAAUAAAUAAUAUUUUAGUAAUCAAAAUAAAAAUAAUAAAUAUUAUUUUAUCAUUCAAAGUUUUAGGAUCAUCAAAUUAUUCUCGAAAAUAUAACUCAACUAAUAAUACAUUUAAUUAAAAUAAAUUAUUUUAUUUAAUAAUAUUUUAUUUUUUAAAAAUAAUAAAUUUAUAUGUAAUAAUAUUUGAAUUAAUUCAUGCAAUUUAAAUCAAUAAAAUUUAUUUUUACACUGAAAUUAAAGAUUUUUUUCAAUUACUUUUUAUAUUUUAAUGUAAUUAUGCAUAAUUUAUUACCUUCAUAAAUUGUAUAUCUAUACUAUAUAUUAAGGAUUUGAUUGAGUUGGGGUCACGAGUCGACCGAACACUAAUUCAGUUAGGUAAUGACAAAAAUACCCUUAUUUUACAUCUAUAUUGUAUAUUAAGUGCUUGAUUAAGUAAGUGUCACGAGUCAACUAAGCACCAUCUCAAUUAAAUAUUAUUUUGAGAGUAUUUUUAUUAUUUUAUAUCUUAAAAACAUGUAUAAAAUUAUAGGAUUUAAACCCAAACCUUUAUAGCUUUCAUUGAUUUAUAUUUUACCAUUUCAAUUGAAGCCUAAUUUGUUAUUUUAUAUUAAUUUUUUUAUAUAAUUUUUUUUUCACCCACAAAUGCGUAACCAUUUAGUAUUGAUAAAGAUGAUUAAGUUAGUAUUAUAAGUUAAUUCGAUCCCAACUAAAGAUUGAUGAUAUUAUUAAGAUAAACAAUAAUAAAACAUGUAGUAUUUUUAAUCUAGUGUGUUUACAUGUUUAAAUUUUAUAUAUUAAUAAUUUUAUUUAUUUUAUUUUAAUGUCAUACAUAAUUAAUUAAUUUUAAAUUGUAUGUUUUAUUAUUUAUUAUAUAUUAUUUUUAAAUAUACUCUCCAUGAUAGAAUUUCUAAAAUUUUAUUAAGUCGCCAUAUCUGUGUGCAUUCAAUGUCUGCACUAACUGGUUAACAUUCAAAGGAUUUGGAAAAGGUAAUACGCGUUUAGACGGAGACUUUUGAUCUUAUCUCUUUCGUCGAAAUUCAUUGACCCAUUGCUCCAAUCAUGAAAAAUUCUACUUUCGAAUGCUAGACAUUAAAGAUAUUGUUCAUUUCAUCAUCUUCUCUUAUUCCUUCAUCAUUCUCUAUUCAUCAUCACCAAUGGCAGCAAAUUCAGGAAUUAUAGCUACAGGUAAUCUUUUAAUUAAUUUCUUCUUCUUCUUCUUCUUCCUCCAUAUGUCGAAACAAACUGAUCAUAAAUUCACUUGUAACCAUCUGCAGCAAUCACCAUUGUCACGAUUCUUGGCAUUAUGUUCGCUAUCGCUAAACGCAGAAGAUCUCAGGAUAUUAAGAAAAGUGUUCAUGUUCCCCAGCUUCUGAAACUAACAGCAACCAUGGAUCAAUUCCUCAACGACAUGGAAAAGGAGAAACCAAUCCGAUUCACCUCUCGCCAGCUAAAGAUCGCCACCGAUAAUUUCUCCACUUCGUUGGGUUCAGGGGGUUUUGGAGCUGUAUACAAGGGUGUUUUCAACGAUGAAACCAUGGUAGCUGUCAAGGUUCUCCAUGGAACCUCGGAUAAAAGAAUCGAGCAACAAUUCAUGGCGGAAGUGGGCACAAUCGGCAGAGUUCAUCAUUUUAACUUGGUUCGACUCUAUGGCUUCUGCUUUGACAAGAACCUGAGGGCAUUAGUUUACGAAUACCUGCCAAAUGGUUCACUUGAUAGGUUUUUAUUUGCCCAAGAAAAGAUAUUAGGAUUCGAGAAACUCCAUGAAAUUGCUGUAGGAACUGCGAAAGGAAUUGCAUACUUACAUGAAGAAUGUCAACAACGAAUCAUUCACUAUGACAUAAAGCCUGAAAACAUUCUAUUAGAUUCAAAAUUUUGUCCCAAAGUAGCUGAUUUUGGUUUGGCCAAGCUAUGCAACAGGGAAAACACUCAUAUGAGCAUGACAGGAGGUCGAGGAACUCCAGGGUAUGCAGCACCGGAACUUUGGAUGCCAUUUCCAAUAACCCAGAAGUGUGAUGUUUAUAGCUUUGGGAUGCUAUUAUUUGAGAUCAUAGGCCGGCGGAGGAACCUUAACGUCCAACUUCCGGACAGCCAGGAGUGGUUCCCGAGAUGGGUGUGGAAGAACAUUGAGAGCAAUGGUGAUAUUGGAGAGUUAAUGGAAGCCUGCGAGAUCAAAGAAGGAAAUAGAGAGAGCGUGGAGAGAAUGGUGAAGAUGGC